rnacentral:rRNA from 1 species
GACGAACGCUGGCGGCGUGCUUAACACAUGCAAGUCGAACGGAAAGGCCCUGCUUGCAGGGUACUCGAGUGGCGAACGGGUGAGUAACACGUGGGUGAUCUGCCCUGCACUUCGGGAUAAGCCUGGGAAACUGGGUCUAAUACCGGAUAGGAGCCAUUUUUAGUGUUAUGUUUAAAUAUUUUUCGGUGUAGGAUGAGCUCGCGGCCUAUCAGCUCGUUGGUGGGGUAAUGGCGUACCAAGGCGGCGACGGGUAGCCGGCCUGAGAGGGUGGACGGCCACAUUGGGACUGAGAUACGGCCCAGACUCCUACGGGAGGCAGCAGUGGGGAAUAUUGCACAAUGGGCGCAAGCCUGAUGCAGCGACGCCGCGUGGGGGAUGACGGCCUUCGGGUUGUAAACUCCUUUCGCUAGGGACGAAGCUUUUUGUGACGGUACCUAGAUAAGAAGCACCGGCUAACUACGUG